CUGUGAUAAAAUUGCUUCACAGGGGGGACCACUGCAGGUUGUGGAUGAUGAAGAUAGCUCUAUUCUUCAAGCAGCACCUGUUGCUCAGCUCGUUUCUGGUACUAGAAUAAGUGCAAGGCUUCGCAAUGUACAGCCAGAAGUAAACCUGUCACAAAGUUAUGAAGUGCUAAAGCGGCAAAAGAAAAGCUCAGAAAAUGAUCAGGGUCAGUUCUCAUGAUCUUGACUAUAACCCUUGUAUUUGUUUGUCAAGAUGUAAUAGCAAUAGUUAUGGAAGAUAUUGAACCAUUGUUUGUUUCAGGCAUGACUAAAGAUGCGGCUGCAAGAGAUGAAAGGUCUCCAGAAGAUGUAGAUUUAUCAAAACCAAUUUCCCCAGAAGAAGCUCCAAAAGAACCAGAUUCAAAUGGCACUCUGAAAGAAACCGACAAUUCACCAGCUGAAGCACCAGAAGUACCUGCUCCUCCUGAACCCAUGGAGACUGACAGCAGUGAAGUUGCCACCACCUUGACUACUGGUGAUGACUUACUCGGGCAGCUAGAAGCCCUAAAGCAACGCUUCAUGGAGCUCA
rnacentral:lncRNA from 1 species